UGAAUGAUUCUGCAUAGGCUUAGCGUU
rnacentral:piRNA from 1 species